rnacentral:rRNA from 1 species
UGGGGAAUAUUGCACAAUGGGCGAAAGCCUGAUGCAGCGACGCCGCGUGAGGGAUGACGGCCUUCGGGUUGUAAACCUCUUUCAGCAGGGAAGAAGCGAAAGUGACGGUACCUGCAGAAGAAGCGCCGGCUAACUACGUGCCAGCAGCCGCGGUAAUACGUAGGGCGCAAGCGUUGUCCGGAAUUAUUGGGCGUAAAGAGCUCGUAGGCGGCUUGUCACGUCGGUUGUGAAAGCCCGGGGCUUAACCCCGGGUCUGCAGUCGAUACGGGCAGGCUAGAGUUCGGUAGGGGAGAUCGGAAUUCCUGGUGUAGCGGUGAAAUGCGCAGAUAUCAGGAGGAACACCCGGUGGCGAAGGCGGAUCUCUGGGCCGAUACC